rnacentral:rRNA from 1 species
CGAGAAAGCCCGCAAGGGUGAGUACAGCGGCGCACGGGUGCGUAACACGUGGGUAAUCUGCCCUGGAGCCCGGAAUAACUCUCCGAAAGGAGAGCUAAUGCCGGAUGAGCCCACGGGGUCUUAGGACCCCGAGGGAAAAGGUGGCCUCUGUAUACAAGCUAUCACUUCAGGAUGAGCCCGCGGCCCAUCAGCUAGUUGGCGGGGUAAUGGCCCACCAAGGCUACGACGGGUAGCUGGUCUGAGAGGACGAUCAGCCACACUGGAACUGAGACACGGUCCAGACUCCUACGGGAGGCAGCAGUGGGGUAUCUUGCGCAAUGGGCGAAAGCCUGACGCAGCAACGCCGCGUGUGUGAUGAAGGUCUUCGGAUCGUAAAGCACUGUCGCGAGGGACG